rnacentral:misc_RNA from 1 species
UACGUAGGUGGCGAGCGUUGACCGGAAUUAUUGGGCGUAAAGCGCGCGCAGGCGGCUUCUUAAGUCAGAUGUGAAAGCCCACGGCUCAACCGGGGAGGGUCAUUGGGAACUGGGAGACUUGAGUGCAGAAGAGGAAAGUGGAAUUCCACGUGUAGCGGUGAAAUGCGUAGAGAUGUGGAGGAACACCAGUGGCGAAGGCGACUUUCUGGUCUGUAACUGACGCUGAGGCGCGAAAGCGUGGGGAGCAAACAGG